AAUGAAUUACCAAUAAGAAAACAAGGCAUAAAAUUUUCAUUUAGUGUGAUGCAUGAUUUACUAACAACUACAAAGAAUAAAGUAUUUUAUAAGUUAUAUCAUUCGACUAUUAAUAAUGUGUUGGUCUAAUGAUAUAAGAUUACAUUAGAUUUUCAUGAUGAUUAAAAUGUCAAGAGUUGGAUUCCUGAGAAUGACACUUGUUGGGAGAGACAAACACGCACACCGAAAUAGAUUAAUUAUUUACCCAAAAU
rnacentral:lncRNA from 1 species